ACAGUUUCUCUUGACAUUUAAAAAUAAAGCUUCCAGUCUUGUCACUAAUGGAUUUGGGGUCCAGUACCCUUAAAAUCACCUCAGAGCUGCCUGAAUCCAUAGACUACUUGCAGAAUCACUGGUUUUACUUGGAUCAAGCCAUCUGAGAAGAAAAAAGCAUUGGAAAUGGAGGAGACUGUCAAGGACAAUAAUAAAUGAUGUUUGGCUGAAAUAAAAACUCAAAGCCCCCACAAUAUUGAACCACCAUUCCAGACCCAGCCAAGGUUUGGAACAUAAAGUGAGCUGAAUGAAUCAGCCUGCAGGCAACCCAGAGAAAGUAAUUGUUCAUCCUAGCAGCACGGCUGCUUUUCUGCUUAGCAUCUGAACAAGUUAAUUUGGAAACACAGCCUUCUGGAAAGAAAUGGCGCUUCUCUCAGCAUCCCAUGGAUUCAUGAGCAGCUCCUUGAAUGCAAAUAUUGCCUGAUAUUUUCAUGUGGUCUCCAGACACAGGAGAAGAGCGACGGCGAAGAAAGGAAGGAAGGAAGAAAGAAAAGGAGCCUGAAUUUACACUCACCGCUUCAAAAGCCCUUUUGUACUAAGCCAACUUCUCCUGGCUGAAGAUGCAGUAUCUGCCAAGAAGUCGCCUGCAAGAAAGCACACCACACAACAAAAGUAUAAAACAGUCCAUUAAAGGGCUCCUUUUCUACCC
rnacentral:lncRNA from 1 species